rnacentral:rRNA from 1 species
ACCCAGCGACGCCGCGUGCGGGAUGAAGGCCUUCGGGUUGUAAACCGCUUUCAGCAGGGAAGAAGCGAAAGUGACGGUACCUGCAGAAGAAGCACCGGCUAACUAUGUGCCAGCAGCCGCGGUAAUACAUAGGGUGCAAGCGUUGUCCGGAAUUAUUGGGCGUAAAGAGCUCGUAGGUGGUUCGUCACGUCGGAUGUGAAACUCUGGGGCUUAACCCCAGACCUGCAUUCGAUACGGGCGAGCUUGAGUAUGGUAGGGGAGUCUGGAAUUCCUGGUGUAGCGGUGGAAUGCGCAGAUAUCAGGAGGAACACCAAUGGCGAAGGCAGGACUCUGGGCCAUUACUGACACUGAGGAGCGAAAGCGUGGGGAGCGAACAGGAUUAGAUACCCUGGUAGUCCACGCCGUAAACGGUGGGCACUAGUUGUGGGGACCUUCCACGGUCUCUGCGACGCAGCUAACGCAUUAAGUGCCCCGCCUGGGGAGUACGAUCGCAAGAUUA